AUGGGCACCACUUCCCGCUCUGCUGCCUUGCCUCGCUUUCCUCCUGUCAGGGAAGAAAGAAGGAAGGAAAGAAGACCCUGAGCUGGAUUCAUACACAUCAUCACAAUUCAUCCACACCGCAGUCCUGUAAG
rnacentral:lncRNA from 1 species